GCUCUAGUCCAGCGGUGAGGGUGUUUGACUCCCUGGGGAAAUGUUCUGGGUUCGAACCCCAGGAGAGAGAAGACAACCCA